GACGAACGCUGGCGGCGUGCUUAACACAUGCAAGUCGAACGGAAAGGCCCUGCUUUUGUGGGGUGCUCGAGUGGCGAACGGGUGAGUAACACGUGAGUAACCUGCCCUUGACUUUGGGAUAACUUCAGGAAACUGGGGCUAAUAUCGGAUAGGAGCUCCUGCUGCAUGGUGGGGGUUGGAAAGUUUCGGCGGUUGGGGAUGGACUCGCGGCUUAUCAGCUUGUUGGUGGGGUAGUGGCUUACCAAGGCUUUGACGGGUAGCCGGCCUGAGAGGGUGACCGGCCACAUUGGGACUGAGAUACGGCCCAGACGCCUACGGGAGGCAGCAGUGGGGAAUAUUGCACAGUGGGCGGAAGCCUGAUGCAGCAACGCCGCGUGCGGGAUGACGGCCUUCGGGUUGUAAACCGCUUUCGCCUGUGACGAAGCGUGAGUGACGGUAAUGGGUAAAGAAGCACCGGCUAACUACGUG
rnacentral:rRNA from 1 species